rnacentral:lncRNA from 1 species
UGAGCCACCGCGCCGGCCUCAUUUGUCUCUUUUACUCCUGUAAUCAUAAGCUCUGUGAGGAAGCCACUAUGUUUUGUCUAUGUCCCGAACAACUGCCCGGCACAGAGUAAGCUCUCCGUGACUUAGUUUUAGAAUGAAUGAACUUACGCAUGUUUCGCAGAGGUAAUAAGUUGUUUUUCGUUUUAAGUCGGCAGCGUCUACAGUCCUGGUUCUCAUACUUCAUCUGAGUUAUUUGAACAACCUCCUACCUGAACUUGCCACCCUAAUUUUUUUAUUUUUAUUUUUUAGUAGAGACGGGGUUACACCAUGUUGGUCACGCUGGUCUCGAACUCCUGACCUCGUGAUUCACCCGCCUGGGCCUCCCAAAGUACUGGGAUUACAGGCGUGAGCCACCGCGCCCCUUGGUUCUCUACUGUGUUCCAUUGGUCUACGUGCCUACUUUUAUACCAGUACCAUGUUUUGGUAACUGUAGCCUAGUUUGUAGUAUAGUUUGAAGUUGGGCAAUACGAUGCCUU